rnacentral:rRNA from 1 species
GACGAACGCUGGCGGCGCGCUUAACACAUGCAAGUCGAACGGAAAGGCCUGCUUUCCCUUGUGGAUUGCGGGUACUCGAGUGGCGAACGGGUGAGUAACACGUGAGUGAUCUGCCCCCAACUUGGGUAUAAGCCUGGGAAACUGGGUCUAAUUCCCGAUAGGACUGCAGGGUGGUGCCUGUGGUGGAAAACGAUUUUCUAGUGGUUGGGGAUGAGCUCGCGGCCUAUCAGCUUGUUGGUGGGGGAAUGGCCUACCAGGGCGGGGACGGGUAGCCGGCCGGAGGGGGUGGACGGCCAGAGUGGGACUGGGAUCCGGCCCAGUCUGCUACGGGCGGCAGCAGUGGGGGAGAGUGCAGGAGGGACGGUAGCCUGAUGCGGCGACGCCGGGUGGGGGAUGACGGCCUUCGGGUUGUAAGCUCCUUUCGAGCGCGAGGAAGCCACCUGGUGGGAAGGGUGGUGACGGUAGUGGUAGAAGAAGCCCCGGCUAACUACGUGC